rnacentral:rRNA from 1 species
UGGGGAAUAUUGCACAAUGGACGGAAGUUUGAUGCAGCGACGCCGCGUGGAGGGUGUAGGCCUUCGGGUUGUGAACUCCUUUUUCUCGCGAAAAAGGCACAGUUUUGGCUGUGUUGAUGGUAGUGGGGGAAGAAGCGCCGGCUAACUACGUGCCAGCAGCCGCGGUAAUACGUAGGGCGCGAGCGUUGUCCGGAUUUAUUGGGCGUAAAGAGCUCGGAGGUGGUUCGUCGCGUCUGUCGUGAAAGCCAGCAGCUUAACUGUUGGUCUGCGGUGGGUACGGGCGGGCUUGAGUCCGGUAGGGGUGACUGGAAUUCCUGGUGUAGCGGUGGAAUGCGCAGAUAUCAGGAGGAACACCGAUGGCGAAGGCAGGUCACUGGGCCGUUACUGACACUGAGGAGCGAAAGCGUGGGGAGCGAACAGG